GCGCUGGUGUGUGCGUCGAGCCGGCGUGUGUGUGUGUGUCGAGGGAGAACUGAGAGAGUGACAGCGAUUAGCUUUGGAGAGAGUACCAACUCUAGAGUCAUAGUGAGAGAAACAAAGUGUCUCCCCUGUUCUUUCUGACCACGGU